UACGAAGGGGGCUAGCGUUGCUCGGAAUCACUGGGCGUAAAGGGUGCGUAGGCGGGUUCUUAAGUCAGAGGUGAAAUCCUGGAGCUCAACUCCAGAACUGCCUUUGAUACUGAGAGUCUUGAGUACGGGAGAGGUGAGUGGAACUGCGAGUGUAGAGGUGAAAUUCGUAGAUAUUCGCAAGAACACCAGUGGCGAAGGCGGCUCACUGGCCCGAUACUGACGCUGAGGCACGAAAGCGUGGGGAGCAAACAGG
rnacentral:rRNA from 1 species